rnacentral:rRNA from 1 species
GAUUCCCCCAGUAAUGGCGAAUGAACAGGGAAAAGCUCAAAGUUGGAACCUCCUGGCCUUAGGUUAGGCGGAUUGUAAACUAAAGUUCUCGAGUAGUUUGGUUAGCCCGGUAAAUAAGUUCUCUGGAAAGGGACGACAAAGAGGGUGAGAUCCCCGUUUUUGGCCGGAGCAUAAUCUUGCGUUUGCUUGGGAAUGAAGAGUCAGGUUGUUUGGUAUUGCAGCCUAAAGUUGGAGGUAAAUCUCUCCUAAAGCUAAAUAUUGACGAAAGACCGAUAGCGAACAAGUACCGUGAGGGAAAGAUGAAAAGCACCUUGAAAAGGGGGUCAAAAAGUACGUGAAAUUGCUGAAAGGGAACCGUAUGAAAUCAGCUUGGCCUUGUAGUCAUCAGCCUGAACUUUGGUUUGGGUGCACUGGCUACUAGGUACAGCCUAGGACAAUUUUGUUUGGAGGAAAAAAUCAGGGGAAAUGUGGCCUCGGCUUUUGGUUGAGGUGUUAUAGUCCUUUGAAAAAUACUCUGGGCGGGAUUGAGGAACGCAGCAAGCCAUUUGGGAUGAACUGGGGGUGCUUAUUCGUGUAGGGGAGGAAAUUUCUAUUCAGGUAGUGUUCUGUCAUGCAUGGGUAACUCGCCCACUUUUUCUUUUUCUUGCUUAGGUCGUAGGCAUAAUGAUUUUAUAUGACCCGUCUUGAAACACGGACC